UUCUGAAGUUGGUCAGAUGCUGCUUUCUGGA
rnacentral:piRNA from 2 species